UGAGGAAUAUUGGUCAAUGGGCGAGAGCCUGAACCAGCCAAGUAGCGUGAAGGAUGACUGCCCUAUGGGUUGUAAACUUCUUUUAUAUGGGAAUAAAGUGAGCCACGUGUGGCUUUUUGUAUGUACCAUACGAAUAAGGAUCGGCUAACUCCGUGCCAGCAGCCGCGGUAAUACGGAGGAUCCGAGCGUUAUCCGGAUUUAUUGGGUUUAAAGGGAGCGUAGGCGGACUAUUAAGUCAGCUGUGAAAGUUUGCGGCUCAACCGUAAAAUUGCAGUUGAUACUGGUCGUCUUGAGUGCAGUAGAGGUAGGCGGAAUUCGUGGUGUAGCGGUGAAAUGCUUAGAUAUCACGAAGAACUCCGAUUGCGAAGGCAGCUUACUGGACUGUAACUGACGCUGAUGCUCGAAAGUGUGGGUAUCAAACAGGAUUAGAUACCCUGGUAGUCCACACGGUAAACGAUGAUUACUCGCUGUUUGCGAUAUACGGCAAGCGGCCAAGCGAAAGCAUUAAGUAUUCCACCUGGGGAGUACGCCGGCAACGGUGAAACUCAAAGGAAUUGACGGGGGCCCGCACAAGCGGAGGAACAUGUGGUUUAAUUCGAUGAUACGCGAGGAACCUUACCCGGGCUUGAACUGCAGUGGAAUUAUCCGGAAACGGAUAAGCGAGCAAUCGCCGCUGUGGAGGUGCUGCAUGGUUGUCGUCAGCUCGUGCCGUGAGGUGUCGGCUUAAGUGCCAUAACGAGCGCAACCCUUGUUGUCAGUUACUAACAGGUGAUGCUGAGGACUCUGACAAGACUGCCAUCGUAAGAUGUGAGGAAGGUGGGGAUGACGUCAAAUCAGCACGGCCCUUACGUCCGGGGCUACACACGUGUUACAAUGGGGGGUACAGAGGGCCGCUACCACGCGAGUGGAUGCCAAUCCCUAAAACCCCUCUCAGUUCGGACUGGAGUCUGCAACCCGACUCCACGAAGCUGGAUUCGCUAGUAAUCGCGCAUCAGCCACGGCGCGGUGAAUACGUUCCC
rnacentral:rRNA from 1 species